rnacentral:rRNA from 1 species
GACGUAGGGGGCGAGCGUUAUCCGGAUUCACUGGGCGUAAAGGGUGCGUAGGCGGCCGCGCAAGUCUGGCGUGAAAGCCCCGGGCUCAGCCCGGGAAGGGCGCUCGAAACGGCGCGGCUCGAGUGCCGGAGGGGAGAGUGGAAUUCCUGGUGUAGCGGUGAAAUGCGUAGAUAUCAGGAGGAACACCGGUGGCGAAGGCGGUGGUCUGGGCCGGAACUGACGCUGAGGAGCGAAAGCGUGGGGAGCGAACAGG